CCUACGGGAGGCAGCAGUGGGGAAUAUUGGACAAUGGGCGAAAGCCUGAUCCAGCAAUGCCGCGUGAGUGAUGAAGGCCUUAGGGUUGUAAAGCUCUUUUACCAGGGAUGAUAAUGACAGUACCUGGAGAAUAAGCUCCGGCUAACUCCGUGCCAGCAGCCGCGGUAAUACGGAGGGAGCUAGCGUUGUUCGGAAUUACUGGGCGUAAAGCGUACGUAGGCGGUUAUUCAAGUCAGAGGUGAAAGCCUGGAGCUCAACUCCAGAACUGCCUUUGAAACUAGAUAGCUAGAAUCUUGGAGAGGUGAGUGGAAUUCCGAGUGUAGAGGUGAAAUUCGUAGAUAUUCGGAAGAACACCAGUGGCGAAGGCGACUCACUGGACAAGUAUUGACGCUGAGGUACGAAAGCGUGGGGAGCAAACAGGAUUAGAUACCCUGGUAGUCCACGCCGUAAACGAUGAUAACUAGCUGUUCGGGCUCUACGAGCUUGAGUGGCGCNGCUACGACAUUAAGUUAGUCCGUCCGUCGGGAGGUACGGUCGCGAAGAAGUUAAAACGUUAAAGUUAGUUAAGUUAGUACGGUUACGUUGAGACGUUGCCGACGGACGACGACGAGGGAGGAGG
rnacentral:rRNA from 1 species